rnacentral:rRNA from 1 species
UACGAAGGGGGCUAGCGUUGUUCGGAAUUACUGGGCGUAAAGGGCGCGUAGGCGGUGUGUCAAGUCAGGCGUGAAAGCCCCGGGCUCAACCUGGGAACCGCGCUUGAGACUGGCACGCUAGAGUUCGGGAGAGGAUGGUGGAAUUCCCAGUGUAGAGGUGAAAUUCGUAGAUAUUGGGAAGAACACCGAUGGCGAAGGCAGCCAUCUGGACCGACACUGACGCUGAGGCGCGAAGGCGUGGGGAGCGAACGGG